rnacentral:rRNA from 1 species
AGAGUUUGAUCAUGGCUCAGAACGAACGCUGGCGGCAGGCUUAAUACAUGCAAGUCGAGCGAUCGUGAGCAAUCACGGGAGCGGCAGACGGGUGAGUAACGCGUGGGAACAUACCCUUCGGUUCGGAAUAGCUCAGGGAAACUUGGAUUAAUACCGGAUACGUCCGAGAGGAGAAAGAUUUAUCGCCGAGGGAUUGGCCCGCGUCUGAUUAGCUAGUUGGUGAGGUAACGGCCCACCAAGGCGACGAUCAGUAGCUGGUCUGAGAGGAUGAUCAGCCACAUUGGGACUGAGACACGGCCCAAACUCCUACGGGAGGCAGCAGUCGGGAAUAUUGGACAAUGGGCGCAAGCCUGAUCCAGCCAUGCCGCGUGAGUGAUGAAGGCCUUAGGGUUAUAAAGCUCUUUCGCCAGGGACGAUAAUGACGGUACCUGGAUAAGAAGCCCCGGUUAACUUCGUGCCAGCAGCCGCGGUAAUACGAAGGGGGCUAGCGUUGUUCGGAAUUACUGGGCGUAAAGCGCGUGUAGGCGGGCUUUUAAGUCAGGGGUGAAAUGCCGAGGCUCAACCUCGGAACUGCCUUUGAUACUGGAAGUCUUGAGUCCGGGAGAGGUGAGUGGAACUGCGAGUGUAGAGGUGAAAUUCGUAGAUAUUCGCAAGAACACCAGUGGCGAAGGCGGCUCACUGGCCCGGAACUGACGCUGAGACGCGAAAGCGUGGGGAGCAAACAGGAUUAGAUACCCUGGUAGUCCACGCUGUAAACGAUGGAUGCUAGCCGUUGGGGAGCUUGCUCUUCAGUGGCGCCGCUAACGCUUUAAGCAUCCC